rnacentral:rRNA from 1 species
GAUGAACGCUGGCGGCGUGCCUAAUACAUGCAAGUCGAGCGAACGGACGAGAAGCUUGCUUUUCUGAUGUUAGCGGCGGACGGGUGAGUAACACGUGGAUAACCUACCUAUAAGACUGGUAUAACUUCGGGAAACCGGAGCUAAUACCGGAUAAUAUUUUGAACCGCAUUGUUCAAUAGUGAAAGACGGUCUUUCUGUCACUUAUAGCUGGAUCCGCGCUGCAUUAGCUAGUUGGUAAGGUAACGGCUUACCAAGGCAACGAUGCCUAGCCGACCUGAGAGAGUGGUCGGCGACACUGGAACGUAGACACGGUCAAGACUCCUAAGAGAGGCAGCAGUAGGGAAUGUGACGCAGUGGGCGAAAGCAUGACGGAGCGAGGCGGCGUGAGUGAUGAAGGUGUUCGGAGCGUAAAAAUCUGUUAUUAGGGAAGAACAUAUGUGGAAGUAACUGUGCACAGAGUGACGGUAACUAAUAAGAAAGCAACGGCUAACUACGUG